rnacentral:rRNA from 1 species
AGACCGUUCUCUUCAGAGGCCGGUCAUUGGAAUGGGUACAAUUUAAACCCUUUAACGAGUAUCUAUGAGAGGGCAAGUCUGGUGCCAGCAGCCGCGGUAAUUCCAGCCCUCAAAAUGCAUAGAAUCAUUGCUGCGGUUAAAAAGCUCGUAGUUGGAUCUGUGCUGGCGGGUCGGUCCACCUUCGGGUGCGCACUGAUUUCGCCGGCUUUCCUGCUGUAUUUGGCCCUGUGCCUCUCAACGGGUGCAGUGUCCAGUGCAGCAAGUUUACCUUGAACAAAUCAGAGUGCUUCAAACAGGCGUUUCGCUUGAAUGUUCGUGCAUGGAAUAAUAGAAGAGGAUUUCGGUUCUAUUUUAUUGGUUUUAUAGACUGAGAUAAUGGUUAACAGAGACUAACGGGGGCAUUAGUAUUGCUACGUGAGAGGUGAAAUUCUUGGACCGUAGCAAGACUGACUACAGCGAAAGCAUUUGCCAAGAAAGUCUUCAUUAAUCAAGAACGAAAGUCAGAGGUUCGAAGGCGAUCAGAUACCGCCCUAGUUCUGACCGUAAACGAUGCCAACUAGUGAUCCGCCGGUGGAACAUUCGCCCUGGUGGGGAACUUCCCGGAAACGAAAGUCUUCCGGUUCCGGGGGAAGUAUGGUUGCAAAGCUGAAACUUAAAGGAAUUGACGCAAGGGCACCACCAGGAGUGGAGCCUGCGGCUUAAUUUGACCCAACACGGGAAAACUCACCCGGCCCGGACACCGUAAGGAUUGACAGAUUGAUAGCUCUUUCAUGAUUCGGUGGAUGGUGGUGCAUGGCCGUUCUUAGUUCGUGGAGCGAUUUGUCUGGUUUAUUCCGAUAACGAGCGAGACUCUGGCCUACUAAAUAGUUUACACAUUGCUUCUGUGUGCAUAACUUCUUAGAGGGAUUUUCGGUGUUCAGCCGCAAGAAAUUGAGCAAUAACAGGUCUGUGAUGCCCUUAGAUGUCCGGGGCUGCACGCGCGCUACACUGGCAAAAUCAGCGUGCUUGUCCUUCCCCGAAAGGGGUUGGUAAACUCGUGAAAAUUUGCCGUGAUUGGGAUCGGAAAUUGCAAUUAUUUUCCGUGAACGAGGAAUUCCAAGUAAGUGCGAGUCAUCAACUCGCGUUGAUUACGUCCCUGCCCUUUGUACACACCGCCCGUCGCUGCCCGGGACUGAGCCGUUUCGAGAAACUUGGAGACCGCUGAUCUGGUAACUUCGAUUGCCAUUUUGGUGGGAACCAAUUUAA